GUGGGGAAUAUUGGACAAUGGGCGAAAGCCUGAUCCAGCCAUGCCGCGUGUGUGAAGAAGGUCUUCGGAUUGUAAAGCACUUUAAGUUGGGAGGAAGGGCAGUAAGUUAAUACCUUGCUGUUUUGACGUUACCAACAGAAUAAGCACCGGCUAACUUCGUGCCAGCAGCCGCGGUAAUACGAAGGGUGCAAGCGUUAAUCGGAAUUACUGGGCGUAAAGCGCGCGUCAGUGGUUCAGCAAGUUGAAGGUGAAAUCCCCGGGCUCAACCUGGGAACUGCCUCCAAAACUACUGAGCUAGAGUACGGUAGAGGGUAGUGGAAUUUCCUGUGUAGCGGUGAAAUGCGUAGAUAUAGGAAGGAACACCAGUGGCGAAGGCGACUACCUGGACUGAUACUGACACUGAGGUGCGAAAGCGUGGGGAGCAAACAGGAUUAGAAACCCUUGUAGUCC
rnacentral:rRNA from 1 species